GGGAUCUAGAUAUUAAUGCUCUUGAUCUGAAAUAGUUAAUGAGUGGGUAAGCUACACCAGCCCAUUAAGAAUAUCACAUUACUCACCAAUACAAAAAAUAAAAGUUGGUAAAAAUAACAAAAAUAACCAAUUGAGCUCUUAAUUUAAGUAAAUUCAUUUAUCAUAAGUAAAACCAUUUGUUGCAUACUUACUGUUGUUAGAUUUUUAAAAC
rnacentral:lncRNA from 1 species